GGGAGGAUUGUUUAAGCCUGGGAGGUUGAAGUUGCUGUGAGCUGUGAUUGCACCAGUGUACUCCAGCCUGGGCAAUAAAGCAAGACCUUGUUUCAAAAAGAAAGAAAGAAAUGAGCAUGGUGGGAAUGGGGACAGAUGGCAAUGUUAAGUAGAGUGGUCAGGGUUGGCCUCAUAAGUGAAUAUUGAGCAAAAGUUUGAAGCAGGUGAUGGAGCUGGCCAAGGUGCUGAGGGAAGAGCAUUGUAUGCUGAGUCAACAGGAUCUUUAUCCUGUUGGAUAAAGGAGGAAACUCUCUGGUGUGUCUGAGGCUCUGGAAGGAGGCCAGUGGAGCAAAGAGAUAGAGGGAGCAAAGUCAGUGAGGAGGCCAGGGAGUUGCUGGGCUGGGAUCGGUACAGAUUGUGUAAGCCCUGGGACGCUAUUGCUGGGGCUUUGGCUUUUACUCUGACUAAAAUGGGAACCACCGAGGGCUUCUGAGCAGAGAGGUGACAUGAUCUGUCUCCUGAUUUAAAAGCACGACCUGGCUGCCAAGUUGAGAAAGACUAUGGGAAGAUUUGGGUAGAAGCAUGGGGGCCAAGCUGUGGCAAUAUCCUGGUGGGAGAUGAUAGUGAUCCUGACCGGAUUCAUGGUGGUGGUGAGAGAUGGUCAGAGCCUGGAUACGUGUUGAAGUCAGUCAGUAGGAUUUCCUGACAGACUGGAUGUGAGCUGUGAGAG
rnacentral:lncRNA from 10 species